GACGAACGCUGGCGGCGUGCCUAAUACAUGCAAGUCGAACGCUGAAGGAGGAGCUUGCUUCUCUGGAUGAGUUGCGAACGGGUGAGUAACGCGUAGGUAACCUGCCUGGUAGCGGGGGAUAACUAUUGGAAACGAUAGCUAAUACCGCAUAAGAGUAGAUGUUGCAUGACAUUUGCUUAAAAGGUGCAAUUGCAUCACUACCAGAUGGACCUGCGUUGUAUUAGCUAGUUGGUGGGGUAACGGCUCACCAAGGCGACGAUACAUAGCCGACCUGAGAGGGUGAUCGGCCACACUGGGACUGAGACACGGCCCAGACUCCUACGGGAGGCAGCAGUAGGGAAUCUUCGGCAAUGGACGGAAGUCUGACCGAGCAACGCCGCGUGAGGGAAGAAGGGUUUCGGAUCGUAAAGCUCUGUUGUAAGAGAAGAACGAGUGUGAGAGUGGAAAGUUCACACUGUGACGGUAUCUUAACAGAAAGGGACGGCUAACUACGUG
rnacentral:rRNA from 1 species